rnacentral:hammerhead_ribozyme from 1 species
AUCCAGCUGGCGGAUGAGUCCCAAACAGGACGGAAUGCACAUCCUGGAU